rnacentral:lncRNA from 1 species
CGUAUGGAAACAGCAACUAAAAGCAUGUAACAGGUCCCAAAACAGGUCCCAAACAAGGAAAGUGUUAUGAGAAUCACUACACCAAAAUAGGCUUUUAGCGGCGCUUUUUUAGGCCUUUAGCAGCGCUUUUUAGCGCCACUAGCGCCGCUAAAAACGCCGCUAAUGACAGUGUCGCUAACUUUAGCGGCGCUUUUUCCACAAACGCCACUAAAGACCAAGACCUUUAGCGGCGCUUUUACCACAAACAUCACUAAAGACCAAGACCUUUAGCGACGCUUUUCCCACAAACGCCGCUAAAAACCAUGACCUUUAGUGGCACUUUUACCACAAACGCCGCUAAAGACCAUAGCUUUUAGCGGCGCUUUUCAAACAAACGCCACUAAAAAUAUAUCUUUUAAAAAAAUUAAUUUUUUUCAAAUAAUAUUUAUUUCUAUAAUAAAUAUUAUAUUAUGUUUUAAGGAUAAAUAAAAAAUAUUAUUUAAAUUAAAUUUUCUACAAAAAUUUUAACUUUAAAACUAAAUAUAAAUAUAAAAAUUAAUGAAUUUAAAUUUAGAAUUUAAAAUAAUAAAUUAAUAACACAAUUAAAAUCCAAAAGUUAGAACACUUAAGUAAAAAUAAAAAUUUAGAAUCAAAACUAAAAUAAAUGAUACAUAUGCAAGGUAAUAAAAUAUACAAUGCAUUUUCUUAAUCAAGUAAAUCUUGGUUACAAAACUAACACAGAAAAUAACACAGUAUACAGUAUGUUUUGUCUUUCACAUUUUAAAAAUAAUAAUAAUAGCAUGUUUGUUUGCAUGCUACCAUGAUCAAAACACAAAAAUGAAGUUCUCCACCUAAUACAAAUUUCUCCUACGAAUGUGCAGAAUCAGAUCUCUAGAUUCUCGGAGUUCUUCAUCUGGUGCUGUCUCGAUGGUUUUGAUUAUUGUGUCAUCUAGCUGGAUUCAAAAAAAAGAAUAGAAUGCAAAGCAUGUUAUACAUUUGGACUCCAAAUUUUUAGCAACUCAAAAGAAUGCUAAGAAUGUUGUCCAACCUUCCAGUACUCACAAGGAUCUUGAAUAAAAAUGAAAUCAGACCUCACCACUUCAUAUAAGAAGCCUACACAACUAAUUACACAAAAGAAAAAGAUGAGAAAAAAUAACAAUGUAAAAAAGACGUUUGAAUGAGAUAAUAUAGAACCCAGAGUUAACUCUGUGAAUACCUUCACUUUAGAGUGGGUGUACACAGUUCGAUAAAGAUCAGCACGAGUAGCAAAUAACUUGUGGAUACUAAGAUCUAGCAAGAGCACCCAUUACCAUUAUUAAGGAGUAAAAAAACACUAAAAGAACUAAACAUGUAUUUUGCAAGUAAAUGAAUUAGAUGAUACUAACAGUCUUUAGCACGAUAGCAGAUCUCAUCACCCAAAACUCGCAGUCUCCAUGAACCUGCAGGUGGUGUAGUAUGUAUAUUAAGUUUCACUUACUUAUCCACAUCAAUUCCAUUCUAACCAUUUGCAACAAUAUCAUAUAAGAAUUGCUUCUCCUUUGCACUCUUCAAAGUAAGCACAAAAUAGUGUAUGUGUUAGAUAAAGAAAAGAAACAAAGAAUGUUUGUACUUCAUACUGGAGCAAAAUAUAAAAAAUCCAGUGAUCAACAUGUGCCUACACUUAAAAUAUAAAAAAUCUAGUGAUCUACCGAAAUUAAACUAUUCAUCAAAAUGAUUGCAAUUAACUGAGUUAAAACAUGAUUUUUUUUCUUUUCUUGCAAAUAUCUAAAGUUUUUUAUACCUUCCCAAAUGGUGAAACAAGCUGGUGAAGUGCUGUAAUUCUGUCUCCUAAUUUUUCUUUCCUCACCUGCCAUAUAACAUAUAUAUGUAUAUAUACAAGUCAGAAAAAAAGAAAAAGUAGGUGAUUAAUUUACUAUUUUACUUUCACUUAAACUAUAUUCUCUUUUUCAUACAUUAAUAGAAUAUGAUAGUUACAGCAAAAAAAAAAGAAAAAGAAUCAUCCCUCUAGAAAUCGACAACCAAACAAGGACAACAGUUUUUACCACCCCACAUGUAUUUUGUGUAUGUGUAUAUAUAUAUAUGCUUGUGAGUGUGCGUGUGCGUGUGCGUGUGCGUGCAAUCUGUAUUGAGAUAAAAAAAAACAUAUAUUUAAUUAUAUAAAAAUUAUGAUAAAAGUAUCAUGGAAGUCCCUGUACUAAAAGGUGGAUUACAUUUUGCCCUUUUACUCAAAUGGUUUAAUUUAAACACUCAUUCAACAGCUAUUACCUAAAAUGCUACCACUUUUGAGGUAUAAAAUCAGUGGAAGUCUAAAUGAACAAAGUCCUAAGCCAAUCAAAACAAAGUCACCAAGAAAUGAAAAAACAAUCUGUUCUUAUCCUUUCGAAACAGUGACCAAAUACAAUGAAUUCAAAAGGUUGUCCUUUUCAUAUCUGCUUAUCAACCAAAUACGCAAUGAGAAAAAAAAAUCAUGAUCCGCCAGCAGAAAAGCUUGAAAUUUGAAUGGAUCAAAUGAAACAUAAAUCUAAUGUAAAACACACCUGGAGAAAGCUUAAAAGAAGAGCUUUGAUGAGAUUUUCUGGUGUGAGCUCUGGCUGACGCUGCUGAUAUCUUCCUUCUAACUUCCCCAUUAUCGUCCCUCAAAACCCAAUAAUCUGUAAAACGAAGACUCCCCCAAAUUACUUCAGAUGUCUCUCUUAAAUUCUAUUUAAAAAAAUUAAAAAUCUAUAAAAAAAAUCAGUUACUAUAAAAAAAAGAGAUAAGUGUGAAUUAAAAAUAUAAUCCCAAAUACUGAUUCAAUUGCAGACUGGGAUUUAUUUCUUACCUCAAAGGUACAGCAAUGGUUGUAACCUCUGUAACCUGUUUGUGAAACCUCUGUAACCUGUUUUACUAGUAAAGCCGAUAAUAAUCCAGAAACUGGUUGUAACCUCUUUGUAUUUGCCUGGGAAACCAGAAAUCUUCUCAUUAUCAGCAUAUGUUGAUUUUUUUUAUAAUGUCGCAGGGAGGGAGGGAGGGACAGAAAGCAAGAGAGACGGCGAAGAGUUUUAGGAGGGAAAAUUAGGGGUUUCGGGGAAAUUUGGGGCUAAAAUGGGGGGAGAAUUUUUAAAAGUGAAAUUAGGGUUUUUAGAGGGAAAUUUUGGGAUAAAACGGCGCCAAGUGAAAUUAUUUUUGCGACGUUUUAAAAAAAAAGCCGGGAAUGUACCUUUUGUGGAUUUUUUUUGAAAACGUCACUAACAAAUUUAAAUUCUUUUAUUGAAAUGACGUCGUUUUGAGAAAUAUUAAUACAUAGUAACGGCGUUUUUUGCUAAAAACGCCGCUAAAGCUCUCAUAUUUUUUAUAUUCAAUUAUUGUAUCUUUCAUAUAAAUUAUACAUAAAAGAAUUAUUAAAAUUUUAAGUAAUAUUUAAAAGAAUUAAAUAAUAUUAUAAAUUUAGUUUUCUUAUUUCAUUUUUAUUUUUGUAUUUUUUUCUUAUAAUUUGGUCCUAUCUAAAUUAAAUAAUUACCUAUAUAUCCAUAUCAAAUAUAUCAAAUGGUUUAAAUUAAAUAUUUUUAAAUAUAAAAGCAGUAAUUAAUUGUAUAAAAUUGUAUCAUUUAACAAAUCUCAAAUAAACCUUAAACCCUAAAUUAACCAUUCAAUAUACAUAAAGUCUAUCUAUUAUAUAUCUCUUACAUAAUAUAAACUAUACUCAUAAUUUCAAUAUAUUAAAUUUAUUAUUAUCUCUUUUACAAUUAUAUAAGAACAUAUUUAAUAUAUAAAUUAAAAAAUCAAUUAAUCUAAACCCUAAACCUUAACCCGACCCUUGAAACCCUAAAUCCCUAACUCCUAACCCCUAACUCUUAACCCCUAAACCUUAAAUCCCAACCCUUAAACCAUAAUCCCUAAAUCUAUAUAUAAUCCCCGAACCUUAAAAUAGUAACUCCUAAACUGGCUUUAAAUAUUAAAUUAACCAUAUACCGUAAACCAUAUAAACCCUAAACUAUAAUGAUAAUUAAUUAAAUAUUUUAAAAUUAAUACUAUCUUAUCUUUUUCAAUUAUAUAUGAAAUUAUUUAAUAUAUAAAUUAAAAAACAUCAAUAAAAUAUAAAUUAAAAUGCUUUUUUUUGGAUAAUUUAAUGAAUAUGGCAGGAUUAACUCUAAACCCCUAACCCCUAAAUUCUAAACUUAGCCCUAAACCUUAAACCCCAACCCUUAAACCAUAAACCAUAAACAAUAAUCCCUAAACUAUAAUGAUAAUUAAUUCAAUAUUUUAAAAUUAAUACUAUCUCUUUUACGAUUAUAUAAGAUAUUUUUAAUAUAUAAAUAUCAAACACGUCAUAGACACUUAAAACUUUGAGAUAGUUAUACUAUUUUUUAUUUCACUUAUAGGAACCUCAUACACUCAAGCACUGCAAGUCUUUUGUGAAUUAACCAAUGGUUAUGAAGAUCUACUACUUACGGUUAUCAAUGCCAGCUGGAAUCACAAAUAUUAACAAGAAUCAGACAUAGAUAGCAAAAUUAAUCAAGCACUUUCAAGGGACAUUCUAGCAGUUCUUUAAAGAAAUGGAUUUCAAUCCAAAAUUCAACAGUUCUGUAACUAGCCUAGCAGACAGAUGGAAAAAUAAUAUUUAUUUUAGAGAUCAGUCUACCUCUUAAGUGGAAUAACUUUCUAUAAACUUUAACCUUGUGAACUUUUUUAUUAAUAUAUUUCUUCUAAUACUUCUUAGAGAUAAUCACAGUCAAGAGAUUCAACCAUUAAGAUUCAAUGGAUGGUUAAUAUAAGACCAAACAAAGACAAUGCAUCUAAUUUAAUAAGCUCAGCAGUGCUCACGAAUAAAGCAAAACAGUGUAUAAGAAAUUAUUUAGUAUGUAAAUUAAAAAACACUCAGUAAUGUACCCAAAAAACUUAAAAACUAUUUUAAAUAAUAGUAUUUUAAAUCAUGUACCCAAAAAACUUAAAAAUAUUUUUUGCGGCGCUUUUUAAAAAACGCCGCUAAAAAUAGAGCAUUAGCGGCGCUUUAUCAAAAACGCCGCUAAAGACCAGAGCAUUAGCGGCGCUUCUUCAAAAAUGCCGCUAAAGACCCGAGCAUUAGCGGCGCUUCUCCAAAAACGCCGCUAAAGACCCGAGCAUUAGUGGCGCUUAUUCAAAAACGCCGCUAAAGACUCGAGCAUUAGCGACACUUCUUCAAAAACGCCGCUAAAGACCCGAGCAUUAGCGGCACUUCUUCAAAAAUGCCGCUAAAGACCCGAGCAUUAGCAGCGCUUUUCGAAAAAUGCCGCUAAAGCCCUGAAAAAUCAAAAAACGAUGUCGUUGUGCUUGGGUUUUUUGCGACGCUUUUUGAAAAAUGCCACUAAUGUUCAUUUUUAGCGGCGUUUUCCAAAAAACGCCGCUAAUACUGGAUCUUUAGCGGCGUUUUUCCUAAAGCGCCGCUAAUGCUUGAUUUUUAGCGGCGUUUUUUGUUCAAACGCCACUAAAAACGCCGCUAAAAGCCUAUUUUGGUGUAGUGAAUAAACAAGUAGAUUGAACGGCUGGGUAGGAGAUAGGCUGUUAAAACAGUUGUUGCCCAAAAGGUUAAAGUGUUGUAUAACCAAAACAUUGUGCACACGUUUAGUAUAGGUUCUAUUUUUUUUUCUUCAGCGGGUGGAGGACUUGGUACGGGUCCAGUGCUGGUUAAACCUAAAGAUGCGUCAUACUUGAGUUGGAAAUUCUGGGAAUUUGAAAUGGUACCAGGCUGCUUUGGAGGGUUCAAAGUGGCAGUGUAUGUGGCUGUUAUAAUUAGCACUGUGACUACUAAAAAUGUGUUACGCAUCUCAUGUGGGAUUCCCUUUGUUGACACCAUUUUUUUUAUAAAACAAGGUCGACUUGGGUUUUAAAAAUGAAAACAAACACGAGAGUCGCCACCAAUCCUUUUUGAUAAGGUGUGAUCGGGCCACCUUAAAAGUGGUUAUUUUUAAUAAACAAUUUAAUUUUAUUAAAACAACGAUUUCGGUCCACGAAAUUCAAAAAAUCGGUUCAGGAGUCGUUUACGUACGAGGAAUGAUUAGCACUCUCGUAACGCCCAAAAUUGGUACCUAGUUGAUUAAUUAACGUCUUAAUGUUGAAGGUCGAAAGAUUUUAAAAUACGAUCCUUAUAUUAAAAACUUGGAUAAAUCAAAUUAGCCGUUAGGACCCUCUCAUUUCAGAGAGAGAAAAUAUUAUACCCAAUGAGUUAGGGCAUGAUAUUUCACCUCUUCAAAAAUGUGCUUGUCUAAACAACUCGUACAGUAAAAUUUAAAAGGAUAUUCAAUUGUUUAAGUCAGGUGAAAAAAUUGUAGCCCAAUACGUUAGGGCACAAUUUCUCAAAAUUCUAAACAUUGAAUAUUGCCUUUAUUUAUUUUUUAGAAAAAUUCACGUCUCGAGAAAACAACGUGUCAUAUCCAAUGCGUUAGGAUUCAACGUAUUGAAUUCCCGAUAAUGAGUUUUUAUUUAUGUUUUUGAUUAAAGAGCAUUCUCGAUUAUUUAGAUUCAACGAAGAAAAUUAGAACCCAAUACGUUAGGGCUCAAUCCUCUCGAAAAUCCCAGAUAUUGAGUAUUGCUAUUAUUUUAGAAAUUUUCCUUUUUUCCAAAUCUGAGUAAAAAUUGAUGUAAUGGAAUAACAAUUAUGAUAAUAUAAGUAAAAAUAAUAAGAGCAAAAACAAAAAGAUAAAUAAAUAAGAAGACAAAUAUUAAUAUAUAAAAAAAUCAUUCAUGUAUACACAAUAAACAAGUAAUAAGCAAAUAAAAGUGAAACAUUCUUUUAAAAUAAUAAUGAAAGCGUAAAUAGAUAAAUAAAUAAAGAAAAUGAAUAAAAUUAUAAGAAUGUAAAAAGAUAUAUGUAUGUACAUAUAUAUAUAAAUUAUAAGAUAUAAUAAGAAAUAUAUAUAAGCAUGUAUAUAUAUAUUUAUAAAAAUUAAAAAAUAUGUAUAUAGAUAUAUAUAUGCAUAAAAAUUAUAAAUUAUAAAAUAUAAAAAAAAUAUAAGAAUGUAUAUAUAUGUAUAAAUUAUAAAUAAGUUAUAAAAAUAUGUACGGGUAUAGGUAUAUAUAUAUUAUAAAAAUGUAUGUAUGUGUAUAUAUAACAAUAUAUGCAUGUGUAUAUAGAUAACAAAAUUUGAAGUUUAAAAAGUAUAGAUAAUAAUAUUAAUGAUGUAAUAUAAUAAUAAUAAUAUAUUAAAAUGAUCAAUUUAAUAAUAAAUAACUAAAAUACCAAGCAGAGGACUAAAUCGAAACUAAACAAAACUUUAGGGCCGAAAUCAAAAAUGAAGAGUAGAGAAAAGGACUAAAUCAUAACGCGUCUGAAAGGAAAAGGACCAAAAAAGAAAUAAACCAAGUCACCCAAAACGCAGCGUUGCAAUGGACUAAAAUGAAAUCAGUGAGAAAUUAUGCAGUCCAAUUUGAAGAAUAAAAAAAAUCAAAUUAAAACAAAGUGCAAAGGUGGAGGGCUUAAUGCGCAAAUAUCCCUCCAAAGUAAAAAAACACGCGGAUCCUUCUCAGGGUCGGGUCACUGCGCGGGUCAGGGCUAAAACGGCAUCAUUUUGGCUCCUGACCCUAAACAGCAAAACGCCGCCGUUUAAUAACCUUUAUUUAAAACAUAUUUUUUCUUAGAAAAAAAAUCAUUUUUUAGGGUUUUAGAAUAAAAUUGCAGAGGAAGAAACUCUCCUGUCGUCAGCCGAAUGGGCCACCAUCGGCCCCGCCGUGGGCGGUGGGCAGAAGGCCAAAAGUUGGGUUUUUUAAACCCCGCUUCAAGGGCCGUCUGAAGAUCGAGUUUUCAUGACCCUAAGGCCAUAGGAAGAAACCCCAAACGUCGCCUUCCCCAUCCGCUUUCGGUGACUCGAAGGACUCCGGUGACGACACUUACACGGCGAUUCAGGUAUGUUUUCCUUUCUCUUUUUAUUCUAUUUAUUUCGUAUGUAAAAAAAAAGAAGAAAUGGACCGAGAGAAAAAGCCAAUCGGAAAAUGUAAAAGGAAUCACCUUUAAAACUGUUUUCUUUUUUUAUUUCUUGAAUGUUCGUGGAAAAAAAAAGAAAAAAGACCCCCUUACAGAUGUAAAGAUCGGUUUUUAAAUCGAUUCUCCCCCCAAAAAAAUACAAAAAGUUUUUUUUUUAUUUCUUUCUAUUCUUCCUGUCACUGCUUCGGUUGCUUUGCAAGUACUUGAUGGUGGCAAGUGGCGGUGGGUAGGUGACAGAGGGCAAGUGAGCGGCGAUGUGACAAUGGCGGCUAAUCAGGGCAAGUGGGCGACAGAGGCUGCGACGCUAGGCUAGGGUUUCAGAAAAUUGAAACCCUAGUUUGACUGGGUUUGUUGGGCUGGUUUUUGGUCUGUAUUUGGGUUGUUUGUUUGGGCCAAGUUUGGGUUGAUAUGGUUAUAAUGGGCCCUUUGUAAUUUUUUGGGUUUGCCUGGGCAAAAUUCGGCUGUACACCCUUCUUUCCACGACUUGCUAUUGUUGCAAAUUUUUGAAGACUGACACCUUUCCUUUUAAAGAUUCGAUGUGGAAUGAAGAGAUGGAGGCUUUGGGAAGCGAGGAAGAGGAACCACUCAAACCUCCUGCUUUGCUUAUCAUGUCUUUAAUGGACUCCUUAUCGUCCACUCUCCCUUCAUCCAAUGGGUAUUGUGAUGGGAUAUCAAGUGCAGUCAAUCCCUUAGCAUUUUUGCAUUGAUAUGGUCAGCACACAAGCGUUUCAACAGUAAUUUUACCACCUGUUAAUUAGAAUAUUCAUACAAGUAACCUUUGAGUAUAUAUAUACAUAAAUAAUUUCACUUGCAAAAUUAUCAUACCUUAGGUCUGUUUCUGAUAGCAGCAACAUGUAAAACAAUGUUGCCAUCAAUGUCUGCCCAACUCAGAAGUUCUUUCUCCCAACAGUUGGCAGCUUUAUGGCGGCUCCUUAUAAGCCACCCCACCAAGACUUGGAAAGCUUCAAACCUGUCAUUUUUUACAUGAUUCUUUACAUGUUUUUGGUUCCACUGCAUAUUAUCAUGUAAAAGAAUCUAAGUUAGACCCAAGAGCAAAGAAAGCAUUAUUCAUGGGUAUAACUGGUGGAGUAAAAGGAUACCGUCUCUGGUGUCCUGAUACAAGGAAAAUUAUUUUCAGUAGAGAUGUGACUUUUGAUGAAUCAACCAUGAUGAAGAACAAUGAUUCACAAAAGGAUAACACAACCAAUGGCACUUUGCAGCAGGUGGAGCUUGAAAAGGUUAAUGAUGAUCCAGCUAAUAUUGAAGGAACAAAUGAUGAAGAAGUUUCGACCCAAGAACUUCUACAGCAACAUGAUUCAAUUGCAUAUAGAAGGCCAAGAAGAGAGAUUUGUAUGCCUGCUCGCUUUAAUGAUAUGGUGGCCUAUGCACUUCCAAUUACAGAUGAUGAUGUUCCUUCUACUUACACAGAAGCAAGAAGUAACCCUGAUGGUGUAAAGUGGAAGCAAGCUAUGAAUGAAGAAAUGCAGUCUCUUCAUAAAAAUAGGACUUGGGAGUUGGUGACACUACCCAAAGGAAAGAAGGCAAUUGGAUGCAAAUGGGUAUAUUCAAAGAAGGAAAGAUUUCCUGAUAAAAAUGAAGUUCGAUACAAGGCUAGAUUGGUAGUAAAGGGUUACGCUCAGAAAGAAGGAAUAGACUACAAUGAAGUAUUUUCUCCAGUUGUGAAGCAUUCGUCUAUUCAGAUUUUGCUAGCCUUGGUUGCGUAAUAUGAUCUUGAACUAGUUCAGCUCGAUGUGAAGACCACAUUUUUACACGGUGAUUUGGAAGAGGAAAUCUAUAUGACUCAGCCAGAUGGAUUCAAGGUUACUGAUAAAAAAAAUUGGGUUUGCAAACUGACAAAGUCACUUUAUGGAUUGAAACAAUCUCCGAGGCAGUGGUACAAGAGAUUUGAUCAGUUCAUGAAAGGGCAAAGGUAUACAAGAAGUAAAUUUGAUCAUUGCGUGUAUUUUUAGAAGCUACAAGAAGGAUUUUUCGUAUACUUGCUCUUAUAUGUUGAUGAUAUGUUGAUAGCAUCUAAGAGUAAAGUUGAAAUUGAGAGAUUGAAGACUCAACUCAACCUUGAGUUUGAGAUGAAAGAUCUAGGUGAAGCUAAGAAGAUCCUUGGCAUGGAAAUAUGUAGGGAUAGAGCUCAUGACAGAGUUAGUUUGUCUUAGAAGCAAUAUUUAAAGAAGAUACUACAGAAGUUUGGCAUGAACGAGCAGACUAAAGUUGUAAGUACCCCGUUGGCUUCUCAUUUCAAGCUUUCUACACAACUCUCUCCUUCGACAAAUAUGGAACAAGAAUACAUGUUACAAGUUCCGUAUUCUAAUAUGCAAUUGUGUGUACAAGACCCGACAUUUCACAGGCAGUUAGUAUAGUGAGCAGGUAUAUGCAUAAUCCUGGAAAAGGACAUUGGCAAGCUGUGAAAUGGAUUCUACGGUAUAUUCAUAAGACCAUGGAUAUUGGAUUACUGUUCAAGCAGGAUACUACACUUGGUAAAGGUGUUGUUGGGUACGUUGAUUCUGAUUAUGCCGGUGAUUUGGACAAACGGAGAUCAACCAUUGGUUAUGUGUUUACUCUUGCUGGAGGACCAAUAAGUUGGAAGUCUACACUGCAGUCUACAGUUGCGUUGUCAACCACAUAAGCUGAAUACAUGGCUGUAACAGAGGUUGUAAAGGAAGCUAUUUAGUUACAAGGUAUGGUUAAAACCUUGGGUUGGUUCAGGAGCAUAUUAAUGUGUAUUGUGAUAGUCAAAGUGCUAUUCAUUUAGCAAAGAAUCAAGUCUAUCAGGCACGUACAAAGCAUAUCGACGUACGUUUCCAUUUUGUGCGGGAAAUUAUUGAUAACGGGAAAAUUCACCUUCAGAAGAUUAAGACUGCAGAUAAUCCUGCAGAUAUGAUGACCAAGGUGGUAACAACAAUCAAGUUCGAACAUUGUUUGAACUUGAUCAAUAUUCUGCAUGUUUAACACUUGAAGAAUCCACUAUCAAGUGUUGUUGACAAAGGCAGAGAGAAUUGUGUGAAGAUAAGAUUACUCGAAUCAAAUCUUCAAGGUGGAGAUUAUUGGGAAUUAUCCAUAUUUAUGGAAAAUCAAAGAUAUGGGUAUCAAAUAAUAGAAAUUCAAAGAUAUGGGUAUUAAAUAUUGGAAAGUCAAAGAUAUGGGUAUCGAGAUAUUGGCAUCAUAAAAUUUGAGAUAUUUGCAAUAUAUGGUCUCUAAUUGUAAAGUGACUUUGCAAGUUGAUCCCUGAACCUCAACUAUAAAUAAGCAUGACCAUCUCUCAUUCUGUAUCUCAAACUUGCCAUUCUUUACUUAAGGCAUUGUUUUCUCUCUCUCUCUCUUUGUAAAUUCUCACUUGUAUUUUGGAGUGAAAUAUAUUUGGUAGUGGCCGAGGAUGUAGGCAAAAUUUGCUGAACCUCGUUAAAUUAUUGUGUUCUUUAUUGUAUUAUUCUGCAUGAAUUGUGUGUGUGAUUGUAGUGAUUUAUUGUGCCAUUAAAUUACGAUUGAGGGAUAUUCUGGCUAAGGAAGACCUGGUACUUAAGCGAUCCUUGUGAUCCACCUCUCUUUCCUGGGAAUUGAACUUAGUGUGAUUUUUUAGUACAAAAAUUUUACUCUUUUACACGCUUCCGCACAACAUCUUUAAUGAUAAAAGCUUAAAGAAUAAUCUUUAAAAUUUGGUUGUUGGUAGCUUUAUUUGGGUAGAAUUUGAGAUUUAGUUCAUAUAUUUUAAAUGUUAAAAUUUUAAUUUUUUUUACUUUUUCAAUUUAAUAUUGUAAAAUAAAACCAUAAAAAAAAUUGUGUACAAAUAGUAUUGAAUUUACAUAAAAAUAUAUAAAAAAUGCAGCAUAAAUUUGAAUAAUAAUACAUGAACACUUAAAAUGAUAAUAUAUGAAAAAAAACUUAAGAUAAUAAUAUACGAUAAAUUUAAACAAUAUUAAUAAUGAAUUUAAAAUAAUAUUAAGCAUAAAUAUUAAAAUAAGGUUAGAUUUAAAAAUAUAUAAAAAUAAUGGAAUAAUAAAUACUUAAAUAAAUUAGAAAAAUAAGCAAAUUAAAUCAAGCUAAUAAGGAUUAAAUUGGAUUUAAAACAAAAUUAGAAGGCAAAAACGUAAAUAAAAUAAAAUAAAGGACCCAAUUGAAAGGCGCGAAUAACUCAAAGGGACCAAAUGGGGAAAUAUCCCCGCCUUUUGAAAUGCAUCGUUUCACCAGGACCAAAUCAGAAACCAAAUAAAAUUUAAAGUAUCAAUUGAAGAAAAUAAAAAAAAUUGAAUUAAAAUAAUAAAAAAUACGGAGGGGGCAAAUGCAUAAAUAUCCUUACCAAGACCAGAACAGGCAGAUCUAGCUGCCUCUGGGUCGAGUCAUCGGGUAUAGUCAAUACGGCACCGUUUUGGAGCCAUUGAAACAGACUUUAAAUGGUGCCGUUGCAUGGCCUUUAUAAAACAAAAAAAAAAAGAAAAAUAAACAAGUUUUUAGCCAUUUCGAAUCAGAUAAAAACCUUAGCCACACGCCGUUUAGAAGCCUGGCCAUUCAAAGGCCAAUCGAUCCCUGUCUGAACUUCGAUUGCGACAGAGUGAGCAAGGAUUCGACACCACCAAGUAAUUUUCUCACCUUAAAUCGUUUUUUUCUUUUUUUACACAUGAUGAGUAAACAAAUAGAUGAGUCUAGAACAGAAAAGAAAAACAACGAAAAGAAAAAAAAAGGUUUCAAAUCACCUUUAGAAAAUUCUGAUUCUUUGAUUUUUCGUCCCCUUUUAUAGAUUUUUAAUUGGCUUUUUAUAGCCGAAACGAAAAAAAGAAAAUAUGUAAAAAAGAAAUCUAUUAUGUUAUCUAGCUAUUUUCAUUUGCUGGCAUAUUGUUGCUCGCUUUUUACUGUUAUUCGUUUCUGUUUCAGGUGUACGAAGGAGCGAUGACGUGGAGGUGCAACACGCGUGGAGGCCUGGUUCCCAGCUGCGGCGUGGACUGUUCCAAAAACCCUAGGGGUUUCUGGAGAUUUCAAAUUGGGCCACUUCAAAUCGGGCUAGGGUUUAAUUAAGUCUAGGAUUGUAUUAGGUCUAGGAUUGGGUUAGAUUUUGGGUUUAGGCCUCAAUCCGAAUUUGGCCUAUUGUAACUGAACUUUUGGACUUAUUAAUGGUUAUUUUGGGUAUUGGGCUAUUAGGGUUUGUUGGGUUUGGGUUUUAGAUAUUUGGGCUGAUUUGUGUUUGUUUAUUUUGGGUUGUUUGUGUAAUUCUGGAAUUUUUAUUUUAUUGGACUUUUAUUUUUUGAUUUGGUUUUUUUUUUGUGUGGGCUCGAGCAGAUUGGGCCUGCUACAAUAUUGAUGCAAAACUUUGUCACUAAAGUGCAAAUUGUAACAAUAGUUAAGUAGUCUUUUGUUCGAAUAACAUUAGAAGCACAUCAAAGUCAAAGCACAUAGACUUUAAGUUCAUUGUUGUUAAAAUAAAAGUUUAGGGUGGUUAGAUGUCUAUAAAGUAUAUUGAGACAAACUCCAUGGUUGUGGAUUCGCUUAUUAAGGGACUACCACCCAAAGCUUUUUUCCUGAGCACACUGUUGAUAUGUGUGUAAUGUCAUUCAAGGAUAUUUGAUUUUAGUAGGAGUUUGUACUUUUAAACGUUUUUAUGUUAUAAAUACAUUUUCAAUUAUUUUAGUUUACAAAUAUUAAGUUUUUUUUUUGUAGAAAGAAAGUUUAUUUGGUAAAGUUUGAUCUCACUAAGAUUAAUGUGGACCGGUUAGAAUAUGCAUGUUUGAAUCAUAUUACAUGUAAUUUUCAUGUUACACAUCCAUACUUAAUCUAUGUCAUUUGGUUGUGCUAAUAUAUGUGAUUAAGGCUGGAUUUAGUUAUGAUAUAUGUAACAAAGUUGCAUUCUUUCUAUGUUAACAUAAUUAAUGGACAGAUUGUUCGAAAUGCCUUUUAGAUACGAUAGUAAAAUUUUGAGCUCAUAAGGUUAUAUAAUGACAUGUAAUUAUAAGGUAAUCGGUAUAUAUAUAUAUGUCAUCCAAGUGGUAUAUAUGGACAUCACAUAUAUAAUAAGCAUGUUACAUGUUAUUAUUUACUAUCAUAAAAGAUUAACUCAAAUUAAAAGUGACCUAAUUUGGUUAAGAUUUAUUGGAUUUUAGUUAUUAAAUAAAAUAUAGGUCAAUAAUAUGUGUAGAUACUCUAGUAACUAAUUUCUAAUUUAUGAUGGGCUGAUUAGAAAUUAGGUUAAUGUGAAAAUGUUAUAUAUUAGGAUUUUAGUCUCCAAGUUACGCAUAUGUAACUUUUCUAAUAUCCCAUCUUGAGAAAAGAGAGAGUCACCUUCUUUAGAUUACUUGUGAGCUAAUUUGGAAGAUCAAAACCUUAAAAUUCGUAGAUUUCAAGAAAUCGGUAAAUUCAAAUACGCUUCUGCAUUUAGUUUUGUUCUUAAUUAUUUGACAUGAUAGAUUCUGAUUUAUUAAGUUUUGUAAAAGAGUUUUACGGUUUUAAUAGGAUAAUUACGAAUCCCAAAUAUAAACUGUAAAACGGACAUGAAGAAUAUAAAAGAAAUAUUACAAGAAUUUUGAAAGAGAAAAUUAAAUUGAAAAUUUUAAUGUUAUUUUUAUCUUUCAUAAUUAUUUUUAUUUAUAUUUUAUUUACAAGAACAUUUUAUUAAGAGUUUAUUAGGAUUAAGUUUAUUUUUACUUUUAUUAAAUAAAUGUUAGACUAAAAAUAAACUUUUUUUUCCACUGUUGGUAUAAUGGAUAGUAGGCUAGGUUGUCCUUUUUUAUUUGUUUAGGCACCCGUGUAUGAGAAUAAUUUAUAUUAGAAUAGUCCUAAAGGUUAAAGAUUUUAAUAUUAAUAAAAUUUUGUCACAUCAUUAAAUUUUAAAAAUAUAAAAUUAUUAUUAUACAUUCGUUCAUAUUAAAUUUACUUUUUAACUUUCGUUCUUCUUAAACAUAAAUAAUUAAAAUAAAAAUAGAAAAAUAGAAUAUUUAAAAUUUAUACAAUCCUUAAAGAUUUAAUCCAAUAUUUUUUUUUGUUUUAAAAAAUGUAUAAUAUGAAAUAGAAAAAAAAAUUAAAAUGGAAAAACUCCAUUGCCUAUAAACUAAUUUUUUUUAAAAAAUUGGUUACAAAAAUUAAAAAUAUUAACUUCUGAAAAAAAACUAAAAAUGAUUAAAAUUUAUAAAAGAAGAAAAGAUGUUUAUUUAUAAUUUAAAAAAAUUAAUUAUUUUAAGUAAUUUAAUUAAAGUUAAAUUAAGUUAAGAAAAAGGAGAAAUGGAUAAGUAUAUAAUAAUACAUAAUUUGUUAAAUAUAUAAAGAAAUUUAUUUGAUUUAGUACCUAAAUAUUAAUAUUCGAAACUCUCGAUUUUUCACAAUUUAUUCAAUCAAAUUUAGAUCCAACUUUAAUUAUAUUACAAAGACAUUCUAUUUUAUUAUUUUAUUAACGGGUGAAAAAACUUAGUUCAACCCAUAAACAUUGACCACAAAGGGAAAUUUGAAACACUUACCACCAAUCCCCUAUCAGAAAGUCUUUCCCACAUUCAACUAGAAAUCAGAGCUCACCAAAAUGUUUAUUCUUUUCAAUCUGAACCGACUCUACAAUCACUUAUUGCUCAUGGUCUUCAGCCUAUAAACCCAGAAGCAUUAUUAACUUCUAAAUCCAAAACACUAAUAUCAGCAUCCAACCCUACAAUGGUAGUCUUAUUGACUCAUUUAAACAAGUUUCCUUUGUCAAUCUAUAUUCCAUAUUGGGUAAUCUCCAAUAUUAAUUCAGAAUUUAGGAUAGCUGGAACAAGAAUAACAGCAAAGAUGCAAAGCGAAACGACUUGUAGGAGGAGGAAGAACCUUCUUUUGGGUACAAACCUGUAUAGCAUAUAAUAGGAUGUCCUGUAUAAUGUCACGAGAGCUAGUACCGUUGCCAAGCAGUAAUUAGUAGUGCUGAGUUUAGAAUAGGAAACGGAUCCAGGAGUCGAAAGAUAGAAAAAAUACUGAAGUGCGAGUGUCCGUAUGGAAACAGCAACCAAAAGCAUGUAACAGGUCCCAAACAAGGAAAGUGUUAUGAGAAUAAACAAGGACAUUGAACGGCUGGGUAGGAGAUACGCUGUUAAAACAGUUGUUGCCCAAAAGGUUAAAGUGUUGUAUAACCAAAACAUUGUGGACACGUCUAGUAUAUUUUCUAUUUUUUUUUCUUCAGCGGGUGGAGGACUUGGUACGGGUCCAGUGCUGGUUGAACCUAAAGAUAUGUCAUACGUGAGAUGGAAAUUCUGGGAAUUUGAAAUGGUAUCAGGCUGCUUUGGAGG